UACGUAGGGACCAAGCGUUGUUCGGAUUUACUGGGCGUAAAGGGCGCGUAGGCGGCGCGGUAAGUCACUUGUGAAAUCUCUGAGCUUAACUCAGAACGGCCAAGUGAUACUGCAGUGCUAGAGUGUGGAAGGGGCAAUCGGAAUUCUUGGUGUAGCGGUGAAAUGCGUAGAUAUCAAGAGGAACACCUGAGGUGAAGACGGGUUGCUGGGCCAACACUGACGCUGAGGCGCGAAAGCCAGGGGAGCAAACGG
rnacentral:rRNA from 1 species